CUACUAAAAUACAAGGAAAAAUAUUGUCUUCGUAUAAAAAGUUCAACAGGCAACACUGCCGAUAUUUUCGUCGAUUGUUUCGUGGAAAUUCAUUUUCUUAUUGGGCAAAUUCAAGGUAUCGGAGUUAUUCAUAAUUUGUAUUCAAAAAGUAGCUUUUUACAACAAGUGCAGCCGUUGCAAGUAAGUUUUGCAUGUUAGGAUCCCUGUGUGUCCGUCCACGUAUGGCUGGUGCAGAUAAUACAAAUAUUAAUAAAUAUAUUCUCUUGUGAAGGUCAGGAUCACUUGGUUGUCCGUCCACGUUUGCUGAUGCAUGUAUUUUUACCACUGCAGCGUUUGGGUUGGUCAAGUGCAGUCUUUGCAUAUUUACAAAAAAAAGUACACAACAUUACAAAAAAUUAACAUUGCGCUAUUGAAGAUAUAACUUUUAAAUGUAACCAAUAUAAUGCUUAGCAAGACUGAUUGGCUGAAAAAGUA